rnacentral:rRNA from 1 species
UGUGUAGGCGGUUCUUUAAGUUUGGUGUGAAAUCUCCCGGCUCAACCGGGAGGGUGCGCCGAAUACUGAGGGACUAGAGUACGGGAGAGGAAAGUGGAAUUCCUGGUGUAGCGGUGAAAUGCGUAGAUAUCAGGAGGAACACCGGUGGUGUAGACGGCUUUCUGGCCGUAACUGACGCUGAGACACGAAAGCGUGGGUAGCAAACAG